AUUGAACGCUGGCGGCAUGCUUUACACAUGCAAGUCGAACGGCAGCGCGGGGCAACCUGGCGGCGAGUGGCGAACGGGUGAGUAAUAUAUCGGAACGUACCCAGAAGUGGGGGAUAACGUAGCGAAAGUUACGCUAAUACCGCAUACGAUCUACGGAUGAAAGUAGGGGACCGCAAGGCCUUAUGCUUUUGGAGCGGCCGAUAUCUGAUUAGCUAGUUGGUGAGGUAAAGGCUCACCAAGGCGACGAUCAGUAGCUGGUCUGAGAGGACGACCAGCCACACUGGAACUGAGACACGGUCCAGACUCCUACGGGAGGCAGCAGUGGGGAAUUUUGGACAAUGGGCGCAAGCCUGAUCCAGCAAUGCCGCGUGAGUGAAGAAGGCCUUCGGGUUGAAAAGCUCUUUUGUCAGGGAAGAAACGGUAGAGGCUAAUAUCCUUUGCUAAUGACGGUACCUGAAGAAUAAGCACCGGCUAACUACGUG
rnacentral:rRNA from 1 species